ensembl:lincRNA
AUGUAUUUGAGCCUCUCCCCGUCUUUCUUGGGCCUGUGGAUGCAAUUCUCGCCGCACCAGACUCCCCUGUCUCCUCGCCGCCCUCUAGCCUUCCUACACUUCUGCGUUGAGCCUCGGACCAAGACCUCUGCCCUGGCUCCGCUAGCUCUGCGGGGCCUGCACUCACCAGGCCCGAAAGUCACCAGGCCUGGAAAGGUAUCUUCACAGGGAUUCCGCAAAGCCAGAUCCCAAUCCUCCUUGGAGGCCACCAGCCCUCCCCCCCCCAUCUUCCUCGUCCUCCUCUUUCCUUUCUGCUUCCCUCCGCUUCUAUGUAUUUCUUUCUCAUUCGUUUCUUUUCGUUUGAUGAGGUGCCACCCACUGCAGCCCUGUCCCCUAGGGAGGCCUGGACUAACUUUGCCACCUUCAUGGCCUUAGCCCGGACUCUGAGUCUCGAGGGGCUUCUGGGAGGCGGCAGCAGGGCAGCUCGGGUGUCUUCACAGAGACGGGUGAGGGAGGCUGGCAAUUCCCUGGCCUCAGAUGGCUCUGCCACCGGCUGGUUGUGUGAUCCUGGGUAAGUCUUUCCACCUCUCUAAGCCUUGACGGUGGUAAAAGGCAGGAGAUUUAGAGGUGUUGGGAGACUAAACCUUUUCAUUCGUUUGAGAAAGGGAGUCGCCUGUGUUGAGGCCUAAGGAGGAAGUGAGGUUCUCGAGAAUUCUAGAUCUGAAAUGGCCAUUUGUUUUAACGAAUAUUUUGGGAGCAGCUGAUAGCUGCUUUUUAUUUUUCUUUUUUACAGCCGAUGGGGUGCCAGGUGUUAGAACCCUUCCCUCCAAUCCUCACCAUGUCUCCAAUUUGCCAAAGAAGAAACUGAGGUUAAGGUCGCGAUGCCCUGGCCAGCACCAAAUGUGGGAUUUGAACGCAGAUCGCGUUUGGAGCGGCUCUAGUGUUUAGGCCACACAGUAUGACAUUUGACUGGUGAAUCGAGCCCUCGCAGGGCCUGGAGUGACCUAAGCCGAGAGGAGUUGGGCUGAAUCUCCAGGUGUUCCUUUCUUUCUGCCCUACGAAAGCUUUGGAAUUCUUAUUUUCAGGUAAACGAUUUUGGCAGUGCCCGGAGAAGGAUAGAAGUAAGACUCAAGGAGGAACUUCCUGCAUGCUACGAGAGACCCCUUGGGGCGAGGAGGCGCGGGCAGCCUUCCCCCGGCCAAGAGAGCAGCCAUCGAUCUUGGAUCUGUUUUUCCUCAAGAGUCUGUCCUGUGGGGCCCGGGGCCCAGUCCCCAGCCGCAAUCGGAGAAGGGGCUCGGGGAGGAGGGCGCACCCCCCGACCCGGGACCGACGGCAGCCCUAGCCAGUCCCCGCUCUCUCCCUCUCCAGGGGCCUCUCUGUGAGGUCGGGUCCUCCUAGCUGCAGUGCAUGGAGGGCUGGCUGUAGGGCAGCAGAGUGGAAGCCAGGGCCUGGGACGUUCUGGUUGGGCAAGGAGGGGCUGGAGUCCGGCUCCCAGUGACCCAGUCCCUAGUCUCAGCCGUGGGGUCGUACGUGGCGGCCCAGACAGGCCACGGGUCUCUCGCCACAAGUCCCAUUACGUUGCAUUUAUGUUUCACUUUAUUGUUUUUUUCCUCCUCCCUUAUUAUUGUCUCACUCUGGGGGAGGCAAAGGAUAUAAUAUAUUCAUCUUUAUUAUACCAAAUCUGUGUGAAGCAUUUAAUAAAACGCUGUUUCCACACAGCCAGGG